UACGGAGGAUCCAAGCGUUAUCCGGAAUCAUUGGGUUUAAAGGGUCCGUAGGCGGGCCUGUAAGUCAGUGGUGAAAUCUUUCGGCUCAACCGGAAAAUUGCCAUUGAUACUGCAGGCCUUGAAUUAUUGGGAAGUAACUAGAAUAUGUAGCGUAGCGGUGAAAUGCUUAGAUAUUACAUGGAAUACCGAUUGCGAAGGCAGGUUACUAUCAAUACAUUGACGCUGAUGGACGAAAGCGUGGGGAGCGAACAGG
rnacentral:rRNA from 1 species